CAAGGAUUCCCCCAGUAACGGCGAGUGAAGAGGGAACAGCCCAAAUUUGUAAUCUGGCCCUUUUGGGGUCCGAGUUGUAAUCUCGAGAACUGUUUUCCGUGCCGGACCAUGUACAAGUCUGUUGGAAUAUAGCUUCAUAGAGGGUGAGAAUCCCGUACAUGACAUGGACCGCCGGUGCUUUGCGAUACAGUCUCUAAGAGUCGAGUUGUUUGGGAAUGCAGCUCAAAUUGGGUGGUAAAUUCCAUCUAAGGCUAAAUAUUGGCGAGAGACCGAUAGCGAACAAGUACCGUGAGGGAAAGAUGAAAAGCACUUUGGAAAGAGAGUUAACAGUACGUGAAAUUGUUAAAAGGGAAACGCUUGAAGUCAGCCUUGUUCUUGGUUGUUCAGCCUUAGGGCGUAUUCAACUUUGAGCAGGCCAGCAUCAGUUUUGGGUGCCGGAUAAGGGCUUAGGAAAUGUGGCAGCUUAGGCUGUGUUAUAGUCCUUUGCUUGAUACGGUGCCUGGGACUGAGGAACGCAGCGAGCCUUUUGGCGGGUCCCCUCGGGGGCCUUCUCGCUUUGGAUGCUGGCGUAAUGGCUUUAAACGACCCGUCUUGAAACACG
rnacentral:rRNA from 1 species